rnacentral:rRNA from 1 species
UACAAAGGGUGCAAGCGUUAAUCGGAAUUACUGGGCGUAAAGGGUGCGUAGGCGGUUCGUUAAGUCUGUCGUGAAAUCCCCGGGCUCAACCUGGGAAUGGCGAUGGAUACUGGCGAGCUAGAGUGUGUCAGAGGAUGGUGGAAUUCCCGGUGUAGCGGUGAAAUGCGUAGAGAUCGGGAGGAACAUCAGUGGCGAAGGCGGCCAUCUGGGACAACACUGACGCUGAAGCACGAAAGCGUGGGGAGCAAACAGG